GGGGGCGUAACGGUUUCGACGGGGACAUUUGAAGUUGUAGAAGCGUACCGAGGUUCCUACAGGCCUCGUUAAACAGGUAGGAAACAUAUAAUCGCAGAAAACUACGAUUACGCAUUAGCCGCUUAG
rnacentral:tmRNA from 1 species